rnacentral:rRNA from 1 species
CCUACGGGAGGCAGCAGUGGGGAAUGUUGCGCAAUGUUCGGAAGAGUGACGCAGCGACGCCGCGUGAAUGACGAAGGCCUUCGGGUCGUAAAGUUCUUUCGACAGGGAAGAAAAUGCCUAUAAGUAACUGUGUAUGUAUUGACGGUACCUGUAUAAGCAGCCCCGGCUAACUCCGUGCCAGCAGCCGCGGUAAUACGGAGGGGGCGAGCGUUGUUCGGAGGGACUGGGCGUAAAGAGCACGUAGGCGGUGUUGUAAGUCAUUAGUCAAAGACUAGAGCUCAACUUUAGUAAGGCUAGUGAUACUAUAAUACUAGAGUAUCAGAGAGGAUUGCAGAAUUCCUGGUGUAGCGGUGAAAUGCGUAGAUAUCAGGAGGAAUACCGUUAGCGAAGGCGGCAAUCUGGCUGGAAACUGACGCUGAGGUGCGAAAGCGUGGGUAGCAAACAGGAUUAGAUACCCUUGUAGUC